rnacentral:pre_miRNA from 1 species
CAUGCACUGGUGGGGUCCCUCGGCCUGGACUGUGCCCUCUCGCAAUCCAAGACCCCUCCAGGGAUGUCAGAGAGCCAGUUUCAGCCCGAUCCCACAGGCCAGGCCGAGGGACCCCACUGGUGCAUG